rnacentral:rRNA from 1 species
AUUGAACGCUGGCGGCAGGCCUAACACAUGCAAGUCGAACGGUAGCACAGAGAGCUUGCUCUCGGGUGACGAGUGGCGGACGGGUGAGUAAUGUCUGGGAAACUGCCCGAUGGUGGGGGAUAACUACUGGAAACGGUAGCUAAUACCGCAUAAUGUCGCAAGACCAAAGAGGGGGACCUUCGGGCCUCUUGCCAUCGGAUGUGCCCAGAUGGGAUUAGCUAGUUGGUGAGGUAAUGGCUCACCAAGGCGACGAUCCCUAGCUGGACUGAGAGGAUGACCAGCCACCCUGGAACUGGGACACGGUCCAGAGUACUACGGGAGGCAGCAGUGGGGAAUAUUGCACAAUGGGCGCAAGCCUGAUGCAGCCAUGCCGCGUGUAUGAAGAAGGCCUUCGGGUUGUAAAGUACUUUCAGCGGGGAGGAAGGCGAUACGGUUAAUAACCGUAUUGAUUGACGUUACCCGCAGAAGAAGCACCGGCUAACUCCGUG